rnacentral:siRNA from 1 species
AUUGAAUGGUGAUACUGGAUAGAU